UUCCAGACUCCUACGGGAGGCAGCAGUGGGGAAUAUUGCACAAUGGGGGAAACCCUGAUGCAGCGACGCCGCGUGAGUGAAGAAGUAUUUCGGUAUGUAAAGCUCUAUCAGCAGGGAAGAAAAUGACGGUACCUGACUAAGAAGCCCCGGCUAACUACGUGCCAGCAGCCGCGGUAAUACGUAGGGGGCAAGCGUUAUCCGGAUUUACUGGGUGUAAAGGGAGCGUAGACGGCAUGGCAAGUCAGAUGUGAAAGCCCGGGGCUCAACCCCGGGACUGCAUUUGAAACUGUCAGGCUGGAGUGCAGGAGAGGUAAGUGGAAUUCCUAGUGUAGCGGUGAAAUGCGUAGAUAUUAGGAGGAACACCGGUGGCGAAGGCGGCUUACUGGACUGUAACUGACGUUGAGGCUCGAAAGCGUGGGGAGCAAACAGGAUUAGAUACCCCCGUACU
rnacentral:rRNA from 1 species